rnacentral:rRNA from 1 species
CCCAUGCAUUGCUUAGUAGCGGCGAGUGAGCGGCAAAAGCUCAAAUUUGAAAUCUGGCGCCUUCGGUGUCCGAGUUGUAAUUUGAAGAUUGUAACCUUGGGGUUGGCUCUUGUCUAUGUUUCUUGGAACAGGACGUCACAGAGGGUGAGAAUCCCGUGCGAUGAGAUGCCCAAUUCUAUGUAAGGUGCUUUCGAAGAGUCGAGUUGUUUGGGAAUGCAGCUCUAAGUGGGUGGUAAAUUCCAUCUAAAGCUAAAUAUUGGCGAGAGACCGAUAGCGAACAAGUACAGUGAUGGAAAGAUGAAAAGAACUUUGAAAAGAGAGUGAAAAAGUACGUGAAAUUGUUGAAAGGGAAGGGUUUGAGAUCAGACUCGAUAUUUUGUGAGCCUUGCCUUCGUGGCGGGGUGACCCGCAGCUUAUCGGGCCAGCAUCGGUUUGGGCGGUAGGAUAAUGGCGUAGGAAUGUGACUUUACUUCGGUGAAGUGUUAUAGCCUGCGUUGAUGCUGCCUGCCUAGACCGAGGACUGCGAUUUUAUCAAGGAUGCUGGCAUAAUGAUCCCAAACCGCCCGUCUUG